UACGAAGGGGGCGAGCGUUGUUCGGAAUUACUGGGCGUAAAGGGCGCGUAGGCGGCCCGUCGCGUCAGGUGUGAAAGCCCCGGGCUCAACCCGGGAACCGCGCUUGAAACGGACGGGCUCGAGUUCCGGAGAGGAUGGUGGAAUUCCCAGUGUAGAGGUGAAAUUCGUAGAGAUUGGGAAGAACACCGGUGGCGAAGGCGGCCAUCUGGACGGACACUGACGCUGAGGCGCGACAGCGUGGGGAGCAAACAGG
rnacentral:misc_RNA from 1 species